rnacentral:rRNA from 1 species
GUUAAUCGGAAUGACUGGGCGUAAAGCGCACGCAGGUGGCUGAGUCAGUCGAUUGUGAAAGCCCUGGGCUCAACCUGGGAAUUGCAGUCGAUACUACUCAGCUAGAGUAUGGGAGAGGGCAGUGGAAUUCCCGGUGUAGCGGUGAAAUGCGUAGAUAUCGGGAGGAACAUCAGUGGCGAAGGCGGCUGCCUGGCCCAAUACUGACACUCAGGUGCGACAGCGUGGGGAGCAAACAGG